rnacentral:ribozyme from 15 species
UUUUGUUCUUCCAGUGUCUCUCAUGCCCUCUCUUUUUUUUUCUUCUCCCAUGACUUUUGUUUUGCAACUAUUCGACAGGAUUUCUAUCAAAAGAACAUGAAAAAGGUUCAGGCCAAACUCAAGGAAUGUGUAGAAAAACAA